rnacentral:rRNA from 1 species
CACCCCUCGCUCGACUGCGCCUGCCAGAGACGAUCUCUCUCCUCCACUACAUAGCUAGCCAGGGUGCCAAAUCCCGUUCCUCUCGGACGCGCCCUCUACAUCCGGCUGUGGUACCGACAAACCGACUCGUGUUGACGGGGCGACCCUAAACUUCUUAGGUGGUAGGAAGUCAAAGAGACGUCCGUAAGUACCGUCCACUACACGGGUAGGAAUGCAACUGAGCAAUGUCCAUGCACAUAAAUACGGGGAUGGUGAGAAGUGAUUAAGAAAGGUGAGGCCGUUGUGUUGUAGGUAAUCAUACCACGAGCCGAUCCAAGGGGAUAUACAGAAAGGGCAAGUACCUGUCAAGGAAGAAUGUGGUUUGUUAAUGUAAUAGGACUAUAGUAGAGUUAGGCUUUAAAACACGUCCACUACAAGUAUGACCAACACCAGUUAAAUAAAGCCGUCUAGAACCUCCGACCAUGAGGGUAAAGAAUGAAGCCUUUACGAAGUUGACUAUUAAAGGCUACCGGAGACCUGUCCGAAUGGGACACACCAGUCGUAAACGCUCUAGUCCCACGGUCGUACCGAUGAAUGUCAAAUUCUUCGAAACAAGCGUUACUGUCACUUUCCAAAGGUAAAAGAAGAAGAAAAAGGGACCGACAAAGAUGAAAAGAAGACAAGAGUGGAGGACGGUCGCACUGAGUACUUUUACUCUGUUCCGAACCAUAAGCGACCAAAUCAGAGACUAACUGUAAACUGUCACACGAGACGAUGUGGUCGUCGUCUCGUGUGACAGUUUACACUUAGUGUGUGGAGUGUUGAGCUGGUUGGUGUAGUAGAGGUUGAGGUGUUCAUGUUCUCGUCCCUCAGGGGUACCUGCGCCACCUCAGGAGCAGCGGGAUGAGCGGAGGGCUCGACGCGGUGUUCGACGCCUGGUGGCAUACGCCGACGAAGCCGAGCGGAAGAAGUGGCCAGUGGCCGCGCCCCUCCGGCGUGUGGCCACCGCCGUCCCGGUCCUCCUCCGCUACGCACCGUCGGUACCCCCUCAAGUCCAUGCUGGGCGAGUCGAUACGCGAGUUGAAGCUGCUCCCGCCGUCGCUGCUGCUGCGGAAGGCCAUGUCCUUGAAGUUGAGCGCUGAAGGCGGGAACGGCUGUGGCCGACGGGCCGCAGAGUGGUGCCAGCGGUAGCGGACUUGACUUAGUAUCAUCGAUCGUUGGCAGCAAAAAAUGAACACAUCCAAGACAGAGAGACUAAAACAUUCGUUAAGUCCUCCAUGGUAGGAUGGUCAUCGUCGAUGGUAUGCACGCAUUUACUAAAAAAAACAGUCAAAUGUUCAGUUACAGGGCCAACAAGCGGUAACAUUGACUUCAUUUACAUGUUCUUCUUCUUCGUAAACUUGUUACCCCAACAGAAGACGAUCUACUUGACACUUCCUUUAAAUGUAGAGGAG